UUAGCUUUGCGUAUAAAAUACAGUUCCUUAUCAAGACUUUGCUCUGCAUCGAGAAAAGAUGGAUCAGUUGAAGGCUCUGCCUUCACCUCUUCUGAAGUGCUUGCUUCUGAUAUGGACUUGGUCAUGUCCUCAAACUCGGCCAAGAGAGGUACACUGAGCGAAUAAACACUCCCAUUGGGAGCUAUUAGAACCCUCGAGAAAGAAUUCUCUUCUUCAGAAUCUAAGUCUUCAUCACUAUCACUCUCCAGUGACUUUUCCUGAGCUUCCCUGCGAAUGAACUUCUCAAGACUCUCAAUCAGCAAUUGCUCAAAGGUCUGGUGGUUUUCCUUGCGAACAUCCUUGUAACCAUAUCUGUUCAUGACAGUGUUGAACAAAACAAUGAGUGACUCUCUCUUUCUAAAAAUGCCUCAAGAUGCCCACAUGAAGAUUCAUCGAUUUUAUCUAAACUGCAUAUCAUACCACCAGAUGGGUCUCAAUGGAAUCACAACAAAGGGUUGGAUACGAAUAUAUUUUGGAAAAUGCAGCUAUGUAAAGUUUGCAAAUAUGACUUCAAGCCAAUGCUACCAUAUCAAUGCAUAACAUUUUAAUGAAAUUGAAGGUUUGACAAUAUAAUUUAGAUCAACAUAUUUAGAAUGUUCAACAUUGUUCAAUUGUGCAUCAAGGCACAACCGACCACCUUCAUCUUCAUGUCAUAAUCCCUAGUUUUUAAAGCAAGGGUUCACCAGGUAAAAAGUACAGAGUGCUGCAACCAAAUUGCUCCUCAUAAAUUGAGAAAAACGAUCCUCUCCCCUCUAUUUCUUCAAAUUAUGCAUUAGUCGAAGAAAAGAACAUCUCAAACUUCCAUGACAAAUUAUAAAUAAACAUGCAACAAAAUCAGAGAAUCCAGUUAAUUACCACUGGGUGAAAUGAGUUUGAAAUACCCAUAACAUUCAGCAGACUAAACACGAUACAGUCCAUUAUUAUCUUAAUUCUGAAGCAAAAUAAUCUUUACCCCAAAAAAACUCCAUUCACGGUGAAUUGGGCAGGCAAAUAGGAGGACCAAGUUUAACCAUCGCAACUUAAUAAAUCAGACAUUACAGUCCGCAUGAUAUAUUACCUGGCAACACAACGAAAUAUGUGGUAGCUUUUCGGGCAGACUCGACGGAACAAAAACCUUUCGCUUUGAACCACAACAGGAACAGGAACAUAUUUUAUACAUACAAAUAUGAUCAUAGAAUGCACAGCAGGAAGUGUGGUAAGAAAAUGUCCAAAUAUAGCUGGUGCUUGCUUCUGAUAUGGACUUGGUCAUGUCCUCAAACUCGGCCAAGAGAGGUACACUGAGCGAAUAAACACUCCCAUUGGGAGCUAUUAGAACCCUCGAGAAAGAAUUCUCUUCUUCAGAAUCUAAGUCUUCAUCACUAUCACUCUCCAGUGACUUUUCCUGAGCUUCCCUGCGAAUGAACUUCUCAAGACUCUCAAUC
rnacentral:lncRNA from 1 species